rnacentral:rRNA from 1 species
GAUGAACGCUGGCGGCGUGCUUAACACAUGCAAGUCGAACGAAGCACUCUACUUGAUUUCCUUCGGGAUUGAUUGUUCUGUGACUGAGUGGCGGACGGGUGAGUAACGCGUGGAUAACCUGCCUCACACAGGGGGAUAACAGUUGGAAACGGCUGCUAAUACCGCAUAAGCGCACAGCACCGCAUGGUGCAGUGUGAAAAACUCCGGUGGUGUGAGAUGGAUCCGCGUCUGAUUAGCUGGUUGGCGGGGUAACGGCCCACCAAGGCGACGAUCAGUAGCCGGCCUGAGAGGGCGACCGGCCACAUUGGGACUGAGACACGGCCCAGACUCCUACGGGAGGCAGCAGUGGGGAAUAUUGCACAAUGGGGGAAACCCUGAUGCAGCGACGCCGCGUGAGCGAUGAAGUAUUUCGGUAUGUAAAGCUCUAUCAGCAGGGAAGAUAAUGACG